AGGACGAACGCUGGCGGCGUGCCUAACACAUGCAAGUCGAGCGAGGAGAUCCUUCGGGAUGAUCCUAGCGGCGGACGGGUGAGUAACACGUGGGCAACCUGCCUCAUAGAGAGGAAUAGCCUUCCGAAAGGGAGAUUAAUACCUCAUAACAUUGCAGUUUCGCAUGGAACAGCAAUUAAAGGAGCAAUCCGCUAUGAGAUGGGCCCGCGGCGCAUUAGCUAGUUGGUGAGGUAACGGCUCACCAAGGCGACGAUGCGUAGCCGACCUGAGAGGGUGAUCGGCCACAUUGGGACUGAGACACGGCCCAGACUCCUACGGGAGGCAGCAGUGGGGAAUAUUGCACAAUGGGGGAAACCCUGAUGCAAGCAACGCCGCGUGAGUGAUGACGGCCUUCGGGUUGUAAAGCUCUGUCUUCAGGGACGAUAAUGACGGUACCUGAGGAGGAAGCCACGGCUAACUACGUGCCAGCAGCGGC
rnacentral:rRNA from 1 species